CACUUCUAAGGAAGGCAGCAGGCGCGCAAAUUACCCAAUCCUGACUCAGGGAGGUAGUGACAAGAAAUAACAAUAAACCGGCUUAUGCCGGUUUAAUUGGAAUGAGUACAAUUUAAACAUCUUAACGAGGAACAAUUGGAGGGCAAGUCUGGUGCCAGCAGCCGCGGUAAUUCCAGCUCCAAUAGCGUAUACUAAAGUUGUUGCAGUUAAAAAGCUCGUAGUUGGAUUUCUGUGGGGACGGAGCGGCCGGCCGCAACACGCGGUUCGAGCUAGCGCUUUCCCUACAUCCUGCCGCGAACCGUGCUACCAUUAAUUUGGUGGCGCCGGGGAUCGGCUCGAUUACUUUGAGAAAAAUAGAGUGUUCAAAGCAGGCCACAUGCCUUGAAUAAGUUAGCAUGGAAUAAUAACUAAGGACUUCGGUUCUAUUUUGUUGGUGUUCGGGACUGAAGUAAUGAUUGAUAGGGACAGUUGGGGCGGUCUGUAUUCCAAAGCGAGAGGUGAAAUUCUUAGACCUUCGGAAGACAAACAGCUGCGAAAGCGUUCCGCAAGGAUGUUCCCUUUGAUCAAGAACGAAAGUUGGGGGAUCGAAGACGAUCAGAUACCGUCGUAGUCUCAACUGUAAACUAUACCAGCUAGGGAUCGGCCAACGUUAUUUCAUACCGACUUGGUCGGCACCUUAUGAGAAAUCAAAGCAUCUGGGUUCCGGGGGGAGUAUGGUCGCAAGGCUGAAACUUAAAGGAAUUGACGGAAGGGCACCACCAGCCGUGGAGCCUGUGGCUUAAUUUGACUCAACACGGGAAAACUUACCAGGUCCAGACAUAGUAAGGAUUGACAGAUUGAUAGCUCUUUCUUGAUUCUGUGGGUGGUGGUGCAUGGCCGUUCUUAGUUGGUGGAGUGAUUUGUCUGGUUAAUUCCGUUAACGAACGAGACCCCAGCCUGCUAAAUAGCGCGCGUGAGCUUUGCUCGCGGCGAGCUUCUUAGAGGGACUAUGAUGCGCGAUAGCACAUGGAAGUUUAGGGCAAUAACAGGUCUGUGAUGCCCUUAGAUGUUCUGGGCCGCACACGGGCUACACUGGCGCCUGCAACGAGCAUAUCAGCUGGCCCGAGAGGGUCUUGGCUAAUCUUUUGAACCGGCGCCGUGCUUGGGAUUGACCUUUGCAAUUGUUGGUCAUGCAACGAGGAAUGCCUUGUAAACGCGAGUCAUCAGCUCGCAUUGAAUACGUCCCUGCCCUUUGUACACACCGCCCGUCGCUCCUACCGAUGAAUGUUCCGAUGAAAUUUUCGGAGAGUGCCUGUGAACUUGGCUCUGCCUUGCGAACGGGAAGCUCAAAGUCACUUUAAUCUGAACAUUUCGAGG
rnacentral:rRNA from 1 species